rnacentral:rRNA from 1 species
UGCCUCAGCUAACGGCGAGUGAAGCGGCAACAGCUCAAAUUUGAAAUCUGGGUCCUGGCGACCCCGAGUUGUAAUUUGCAGAGGAUGUUUCGGGUGAGGUACCGUUCUAAGUUCCUUGGAACAGGGCGUCAUAGAGGGUGAGAAUCCCGUCUGCGACCGGUGUCCGAUCCUAUGUGAAACUCCUUCGACGAGUCGAGUUGUUUGGGAAUGCAGCUCAAAAUGGGUGGUAAAUUUCAUCUAAAGCUAAAUACUGGCCAGAGACCGAUAGCGCACAAGUAGAGUGAUCGAAAGAUGAAAAGCACUUUGGAAAGAGAGUUAAAAAGUACGUGAAAUUGUUGAAAGGGAAGCGCUUACAGCCAGACUCGCCCGGGGGUGAUCAGCCGUCCUUUUGGGCGGUGCACUUUCCCCCGGUCGGGCCAGCAUCGGUUUGGGCGGCUGGAUAAAAGCUUCGGGAACGUGACUCCCCUCGGGGAGUGUUAUAGCCCGGAGUGUAAUGCAGCCAGCCUGGACCGAGGACCGCGCUUUUGCUAGGAUGCUGGCGUAAUGGCUGUCAGCGACCCGUCUUGAAACACGGACUAAGGAGUUGAUAAAUUGUGCGAGUGUUAGGGUGUUAAACCCUUACGCGUAAUGAAAGUGAACGGAGGUGAGAGCCCUUUGGGUGCAUCAUCGACCGAUCCUGAUGUCUUCGGAUGGAUUUGAGUACGAGCAUAAUUUCUCUGACCCGAAAGAUGGUGAACUAUGCGUGGAUAGGGUGAAGCCAGAGGAAACUCUGGUGGAGGCUCGCAGCGGUUCUGACGUGCAAAUCGAUCGUCAAAUCUGCGCAUAGGGGCGAAAGACUAAUCGAACCAUUAGAGAAUUUAGCUGGCUAGGUGGUUACAUAAGGACUAUUGUUCUUAGUCCCCGGGGAGUAUUCCUCCCUGGAGACGACAUCGCUACUUGCAUGGACACCCCUGGAGUCGAAAGAUUCUAGGUGGUCGAUAUGCAGCACGCCCCUCGGGUGUGUUCACAGACCAAACAGCGAUGGCCCUCUCCUGGAGAAAGGGUUUUGAUAUGGCCGAGUCCAU